rnacentral:rRNA from 1 species
UGCACCACUCCUACGGGUGGCUGCAGUCGAGAAUCUUCGUCAAUGGGGGAAACCCUGAACGAGCGACGCCGCGUGUGGGAUGAAGGCCUUUGGGUUGUAAACCACUGUCAGGGGGGAUGAAACCGCAAGGUUGACAGAGCCCCAGAGGAAGCACGGGCUAAGUUCGUGCCAGCAGCCGCGGUAAUACGAACUGUGCAAACGUUAUUCGGAAUCACUGGGCUUACAGGGUGCGUAGGUGGCCGGACAAGUCAGGUGUGAAAUCCCUCAGCUCAACUGAGGAACUGCGCUUGGAACUGUUUGGCUAGAGUGAGCUAGGGGUACUUGGAACUGCCAGUGGAGCGGUGAAAUGCGUUGAUAUUGGCAGGAACACCGGAGCCGAAAGGGAAGUACUGGGGCUUAACUGACACUGAGGCACGAAAGCCAA